GCAAUGAAAGUGCUGAGUCCUAACCACUGGACCUCCAGGGAAGUCCCUCGCGGCCCUCUUUAGAUGGGCUACAUGCUCUCCAGUUUGCCACAGUCCUCCCCUCUCCCUAAUGCCUCCCCAAUAAGAUCCUUCUCAUAAUCAGUCUGCCUCACUCAGUUCUUUAUUGCCUGUUUCCCGGCACCUGAGUUUCUAAGCCACAAGCAAUCUUCUGUCGCAGAUGUACGCGAAUGUUUUCUGUAAAAAGCCAGAGAGUAUAGAUUUUAAGUUCUGCCCAUCAUAGGGUCUCUGUUGCAACAGCUCUUCGCCUCCACUGUUGCGGUACAACAGCAACCACAGUGGAGGGUCAAGCGUGGACGCGUGCCAGUCAGCCCAUUUACAGAAGCAGGUGGUGGCUUGUCGCGCCCGCUCUUUUCACUGAGACGCAGCCCCUCUGCCCGACCCACUCGCCCCCACUGUCCUGAGCCCCAGCAGCCUCUGUCCCUGCCUGCCUGCCUUGCCUUCUGCUCCCCUACCGUCCACACAUCUGAAGACAGAGGCUCAAAUGUCUCCUUCAGGGCCUGGAGGCCAGGAGCGGAGCUGGCUGGGGCCCGGGGCAGAGCCUGCCCAGAAAACGAUGCUGCUCCCGCUGGAGAAUUCCCUCAAACUACAACGGACACCGCAGCUCGAGGGACUAGGUGAGCCUGGCCUCCUCCUCCAUGCAGAGGAGGAUGAUGUGUGCGGAUGACCCAACAUGGGGUCCCAUCUGACACAGGAGAAGAAUCUGCAUCUGGGAAUAAGGAAAUCAGACUCUCUGCCCAGAAAACACUUUCUGUGGCAGUGUCACAUGUGAGUGACGCAGGAUUCUGGUGGGAAGAUGCCCACAGGGACCAUUCAAGGCACUGGGCUUUGUGGACUGGGGAAAAAAUGUUAGUCAUUCAGUUGUGUCUGUCUCUCUGCGACCCCAUGGACUGCAGCCCGCCAGGUUCCUCUGUCCAUGGGAUUCUCCAGGUGGCACCCAGGACCUCCCAGCUGAGAUGGACUUGAUGACCUUGUUCUUCCACUCCAAUUGGACCAUCGCCUUUGUCUUCGUCCUUGUGGUCAUGGUGCUCCUGCUGCUGUUUGGCAUCAACGGCUGCGCUGGCGGCUGUAUUCCCGGCUGUGGCGGCUGUAUUCCUGGCUGUGGCGGCUGUAUUCCCGGCUGUGGCAGCUGUAUUCCCGGCUGUGGCAGCUGUAUUCCCGGCUGUGGCAGCUGUAUUCCCGGCUGUGGCGGCUGUAUUCCCGGCUGUGGUGGCUGUAUUCCUGGCAGCUCCCUGCCCUGCUGACAAGGCUGCUCCUCCGGGUCCCAGAAGGAAUCCACCCCUACCCCAGGGAUUUGAUAACUUCGCCUGGAGCCUUAAUGCGGACAGUCCCUGCCUCCCUGCCUUUGCUCUGCUGGAGAGUAAUAACAAAACCUCGUUCAGCCAAAGCCUGAGUCUACAGCUUGUCCCAUCAGGGUGGGCAGUGCAGGUCCUUACGGCUUCACUGGGUUCCCCAGACUUCAGCUGGCAUGGCUGU